GGAGGUAUGGUUGAGUGGCUAAAGGCAUUGGUUUGCUAAAUCGACAUAGAAAAAGAUUCUAUCAUGCGUUCUCAUCCCAUUUCCUCCG
rnacentral:tRNA from 1 species